GGGGAUAUAGUGUAGUGGUUAACACACAUGGCUGUCUACCAUGUAGCACGAGUUCGAAUCUCGUUAUCCUCGCCA
rnacentral:tRNA from 3 species